UUUUACUUUUUUUUUUUUUUUUUUUUUUUUUUUGUGUUUUCUUGUUUUCCUUAUAUUUUUUUACCAAAUUAAUAUUUUCUAAUCGUUUCUUUAUUUUUCUAGUAUUUUUUGGUUCUUUAUUUUAAAAUAGGGGGUAAAAUUCUGAAAAACGUAAAAUAGAGGGGGUAAAAUUCCGAGUUUUAAAAUAAGGGGGGCAAAAUCCCGAUUCAAUCAAAAUAGAGGGGGUAAAAUUCCGAAUUUUAAAAUAGGGGGGGUAAAAUUCAGAUUCAAUCAAAAUAGGGGGGGUAAAAUUGCAUUUAAGCCUUUUGUAUUUUGUUGUGUUAUGUUUCUUGAUCAAAUUAGUUAAGAUCUACUUAUAAGUCACACAUUACUAUCAAAUAGAAGGUGUUGACUCAUCUUAGUGACCUUUUAAUUUUAUAUGGUCAAUCCUUUUAAAAAGCAAUUAACAUAUGAUAAUGCUAAUUUAUUUGAAAAAUCAUUUUUAUAUUAAGAUGACCAUUGACCAAUAUACUUUCACAUAAUUAUAUAUAUAUAUAUAUAUAGCUGUCAAAAUAGGCCGGGCCGUACGGGUCGGUCCGAAAACCCGAAUAAAAUGCAGGGCCUGGGCCGAAUAAUAGAAGCCUGAAUUUUUUCAGGGCUUUUUAGCCCGGCCCAAAAAAGCCCGUAGCCCGUUAGGGCUGAGGGCAGCCCGGCUAAAAUUGAUCCAAUCUAAUCCUAGAAAUGAAGUGGCCUUCAACCUUCUAACUGUGUUAUUGGUAACGCUUCACUAAUUUAAUAAAUGAAAUGAAAAGUACUUUGAAAUAACUGUAUAUAUUGAGAAAGUAUCAAAUAAUCUUGUGAAGGUUGCAACAAUUGUGAAAGAAUAUGUCGCUUCUGUCAUCUGAUAUGCUGUUGUUGUGUUUAUUUAUGGCCUAUUUUUUGUUUAUAUAAGUGCUUAAGCUGAGCCAAAAGUAUGUUAAUAAUUGAGCUUUGUGAUGGAUCCGUUUCAAACUUGCUUUAUGAUGGAUCUGUUUUGUUUCAAACUUGCCAAAAGUAUGUUAAUAUUGAGCUUUGUAUCUCCGGCCUUAUGCACUUCUGCUAGGCUGUUUUGUUGGAAUAAUAUUAUGCUAAACUAUCUUGGUUAAGUCUUGUUAUGUAGAAUUUUAGUUUGGCAAUUAUUAUAAGAAACAUUCAACCAAUUUUAUUAUUCUUAUGUCUCUCUUUAUACGCUAAAUAUUUAAUUAAGUGGUCAUGCUUUUAUGCUCUAUAUUUAUCAAUCAAAUUUCUUAAAGAAUGGAAAGAGAGAAAAAAAAAAAAAGGAAAAAGAAAAGGGUCAGGGCUGGCUCGUUAGCCCGGAAGCCCGUACAGGGCCGGGCUCGGGCUCUAUUUUUCCAGCCCAUAUUCAAACAAGGCUUUUCAGCCCGGCCCUUAAAAGCUCGUUACCCGGUCGGUCGGGGCUGCCCGUUUUGACAGCUAUAUAUAUAUAUAAGGUGUAUUUUAGCAACCCACACUUCAAGGUGUGAUUUCCACUUUUUAGUUAUAACUUUGUUAAAAGAUACUUUCAUAAAAAUUAAUUGGUGUCUUUUAACAAAUGCUCAUAGAAUAAAUUGCUAAAAAACACCUUCAAAAAGGUGUCUAAAAGAUAUUUUUUUAGCAAAACCAUAUAUAUAAUGUUCAACCAUUGACCAUGUCCAUAGGCACAACAUUACGUUUAUUAAUUAAUUUAUUUCAAAAAUAAAUAUGCUUAAUUUAAUUGUAUAUAUUAUUUGUAUUCUUUGUACUAGCAAAAAAUACAAUAACAUUCCACUUAGAAAAUUUAUAUUUGGAAUAAUUAUAUUCUCCAAUCUAAUCAUCAAAUAAUAAAAUAAUUCUUUAGUAAGAACUAGAACACUCGUUUGUAUAUGACACUGUAGGUUCAAUAUUAAACUGGUAAUAGAUUAAUCAAAUUAUGAACGUUAUUUUUUUUUAAAUUUUUUUAUGAAAUUUUGGUUUUGAUUAAAAGUAAAAGUAUAAAUGUUUGUUGUUUUUUUAGUGACACAAACAACAAUCUUUAUUAUAGAAAAAGUUGUUUAAAAGUAUAAUUGGAAUAAUGAAAAAGUAAGUAUAAAUAUACUCAUCUAGUUUGCUAUACUAUUUAAAUUAUAAAGGAAAAAAAACAGAUAUACAUAUAUUCAUUUUUUGAAGGAAGAUAUACAUAUAUUCAUAUCUUGUUUGUUACAUUUGUUUUAAUAUUUAAACUUAUUCUUAUCUAUUUGUUAUAUGUGUUAUUUGUAUUGAAAAUUUAGGGUAUUUUUGGAAAGAAAAAUCUAACCCCAAAGUGCUGAAAGGGGUAGUUUUCUUUAUAUAUAGUAUAUAUACAAAAGAUAAAAAUAUUGGGAAAUACUUUCAUAAUUAAAAAAAGGGUUAAUAGUGCUUUUCACCCAUGUAAUAUAGCCCAUUUUCGGUUUUCGCCCCUAUAAAAUUUUCGGUUUGAAUUGCAUCCUUAUAAAUAAAAAAUUCUUCCAGAAAACACCCCUCCCCCAUCCAACUCAUAUUAGUGGUUAGAGUAGGGGUGCAAACCCAUAUUUUGUAUUUUCUCUUUUCUUUUUAUCCUCCAUAGUUUGAAUGUUAGUAGUAGAUAUUGAUGCAUCUACGGUUCAAAUUUUCUGGUUAAAAAUUCAAUUAACAUUUAUCUCAAUUGUAUGUUAUUUUUAUAACUAAUUUUAAAAUUGUUUAAAAUUACUAUUGCUCUUCUGAUAUUUUUCCCUUGUAUGUAUUGAAGACUAAAAAAGAAAUACAAAUAAUAAUGAAGGCUCAUCAAAAAAAUGUUUUCCUUUGUUUGGGUGUCGGCUAACUGCGUAUUUGUUUUUCAGAACUCUGUUUUUUUUUAUCGUCUUUUCUGAUACGUCUUGUGUUAGAAAGGCGUCUCUGAUAGUGUGAAUAUAAAUUCUAUUUUUUAUUCUUAAAAAAAAAUGUAUUACCUUUUAUUGCAAAAGGAUUUGUGUCUGAGAUCAUUAUUAAGUUCAACUGAUCGCUUUUGUGGCAUAAAGGGACAAACACAUUUAAUAAUAAUUUUAGUUUUAUGAUCGGUUUCUUUCUCUUUUUUUUUUUUUUUGCUACAAUUUAUGACCAAUUUCUUGUAGGGAUGACAAUGGGUACCCAUUGGGCAGGGUACCAUAGUGCCCAUCUCCAUACAUGCGUUUUAAGAAAAUCCCCAUACCCGAGCUCAUACCCUUGUGGGCAAUAAGUUUGGUGCCCGUCCCCAUACCUUAUGGAUAUCUAAGUGCCCAUACCCGCACCCAAUACCCGCACUUUCACAACAAAAAGAUAAUCAAUAACAAAAAAAUAUCACAACAUAAUUAAAAUAUGAUAUGAAAUAUGUUAAAUCAACAUAUAAAAUAUUAUGCAUCAUAUUAUUUAGCCAAAUAAAAAGCAUCUAAAAUAUAAAAAAAAUAUAAAAAAAAUAAAAACAAGUGCAUAUUACAAUAAAUAUGAAAGACUUCGGAUUAAUUAACUAAAUUUAAUAUAAAUAAAAUUAUUGGUAUAGUCUAUAUAAUGUGCGGGCAUGGGGCAGGGUGGGUACUAGAGUGCCAGUACCCGUACCCGUACCCUUUCAAAUUUGCGGGCAAUUACCCAUGCCUAGGCCCAUACCCAACUUGUAUAACAUGUGACAUUUUUUGCGGGUGCCUAUAGGGCUUGAGUCCAAUUGUCAUCCUACUUGUAUGACAUGUGACAAGGGAAAACACAAUGCUUUUUACAUUUUUAACUAGUAAAAGAACCGUGCUUUUACACAGGUCAUGUUACACUCCGAUAAUUGUAUAUAAAAUAAUUAGAUUGUUAAUAUUGUAGAAUAUUUAUAAAUAACAAAUGAAAAUUAUGAGUAUUAAUGUAGUGUUUCUAUUAACUAUUUUUUUUAUAUAUUUUACAAAUUUGUUAAAUAGUUGAGUCACACGAGUUAUGGAUUUUAUUAGUUUAUAUAUGAGAAAACAAAUUUUUAUUUAGAUAUAUGAAAAAAUGAUAUGAUAAAAUUUUGAAAACUCAUGACUAUUUUCAAAAUCAAAAUUAAUGUACUGUUUCUUUUAAAUAACUAUUUAUUUUAUAUGCAAAAGACUGUUCAAUGUCUGCACCAUAUCCGUUGCAGAUUUUAUAUACUUAUAUCUGCAUGAACAAAUUUUUAUAUACAUAUAUAAGAAAGUCGAUACGACAAAGUUUUAAAAUCAUAGUUAAUGUAGUGUUUAAAAACUCAAGUCUAUUUUAAAAACUCAAGUCUAUUUCAAAAUCAUUGUUAAUGUAGUGUUUCUAUUAAAUAAAUUUUUAUUUUAUAUGCAAAACACUGUUCAAUGUUUGCACCAUACCCGUUGCAGAUUUUGUGUACUUAUAUUUGCAUAAACAAAAUUAUAUAUAUAUAUAUAUAUAUAUAUGAGAAAGUCGAUAUGAUAAAAUUUUGGAAAUACAUGAUUAUUUUCAAAAUAUCAACAUUAAUGCAUUGUGUCUAUUAAAUAAUUUUUUAUUUUAUAUUUGAAACAUUAUUAAAUAUUUAAACCGCACUCGUUGAGGAUUUUGUAUGCUUAUAUAUGCAAAACAAAAAUUUUAUGUACCGAUAUGUGAUUGUCGAUAUAAUAAAAUAUUAAAAACUCUUGACUAUUUUCAAAAUAUCAAUAUAAAUGUAGUGUUUCUAACAAUUAAAUUUUUAUUCUAUAUGUAAAAAAAACCGUUCAAUUGUUGCACCGCUCCCGUUGCAAAUUUAUUAAUUAUAGCUAAUGAAAUUAAGUAUGAAACUUAAUAUUUUAUAAACCUUUCUUCAAGUAACGUCGUAAAUUUAACUAGGUUAUUUUACCGCAUAUGUUGUCGUGAGGUUAAUAAGGAUUUAUAAAUUCAAUUUUUUAAAUCAUAAGUUUUACUAAGUUAUUUCCAACAAAGACGGAGGAGGAUUCAAGGAUUCGCUAAUCGCCGUUAAACCUUUGAAUCACGAACCUAAUCUAGCAUUGGGCUUUUCUUAAUCUCUUUUAAAUUUCACUCUUUUAAAUAAGUUAUUCUAAUUACUAAGUUGAAGGACAAUCUACGUGGAGACGAAAAAAUUUACCAUUUUAUUACUUGUUAUGAUUUAGUGCAUUUUCCAAUUUCACCGAUCAAGUUUUUGCCGUCGUUGCCGGAGAUUGUUGAUAUUCCAACUGGAAAACCCUAUUUUCUUUAACAUCGAGAACUUGGUCCUCACUGCUCUGAAAGAUAACCAGUACUCAGGUAAGGAAGAUGAGAAUUGUAAUAUUCAUCUAACUGAUUUCUUAGAAGCUUGCAAGACCAUUAAUCUCAAAGGAGUUUCGAAGUCAGACAAACGACUUACGUUGUUUGGGUACUCUCUUAAAGGACGAGCCAAAGAUUAGUUGAAUGCAUUUCCAAGUGGUAGCAUUGUCAUUUGGAACCAACUAAAGAGGGCCUUUCUUAGCCACUUUUUCCCAACCUUAAAGUACAUGGUAAAAAGGUGAGAAAUCUCCUGUUUUCAACAAGAAGACGAUGAGAACCUCUAUGAUGCACGGGAAAGAUAUAAGUUGCUGCUUAAGAGGUACCUUAGGCAUAAUUUCUCUAAAUAGGAGGUAACCCUUAUAUUUACUAACGAUCUUAAGACCUGAACUGUAAUGAUGUUAGAUGCUUCUACAGGUGGUUCUAUGAAGAACAAAACAACCACCAAGAUUCGAGAACUCAUUGACAACAUAUCUUUAAACGAGUAUAGACCUUAAGGUAAUGAUAGGAAUGUUGUGAAAAAGAAAGAUAUUUUGAAUCUUAAAACCCAAGAUGCUUUACUUGCGGGUCACAAAUUUCUUAGCGAUAAAAUUGAAGUUAUAGCUAAAAAGUUGGAAGCAAAAGAGGUGGUGAGGCUGCGAACCAAUGACAUAGGAUGUGCCUAACAAAAAUAUCAUAUGAUGUUUUGUCAUUGCAACCCCAAACUUAAACAGUUGCUUGUCGGUAAGAAACACAAUAACAAGAAGUUAUAAUUUAUCACUAAGAAAGGCCCUCGUACCGGGUGAAAAUGAUGUUACCUCCCUAUUGGAUAAGUUAGAUUGAUAGCUUCAAAACUUUUGAUAUUUGUUUAAAUAUCUUUUAUUGUUAUGGGUAUCACUGCACUUAAAGAGAAUCUAAGUGGAAUAAAAAAACUUCAAUAUACAUAACUAAUAAAUUUCUCCCUUUCAUAAAUGUCAAUGUGUAUAUAUAUAUAUAUAUAUAUAUAUAUAUAUAUAUAUAUAUAUAUAUAACUUGUAAAUUUGUGGCUUUCAACACUUUAUAAGUUAGGCCUAAUUGUAUUUCAAGGUAUGUAAAAUCUUUAUAGCCAAAACUUCACAAGUUCUAUUUUUUAUUUUUUUAGAUUUCCAUUGAUAUUUAUGAAAGGGCAAAAGUUAUUAAUUAUGUGUAUUUAAGUUUUUUGACUCCGCUUAGAUUCUCUUUUGGUCCAAUGUUAACACCUUCCCGUAUAGCCAAGAAUUUUAUGAAAACAAAUAUCAAAUUCUUUUAGCUACAUAAAUAACCCAUAAGUUCCCUAAAAAAAAAAAAAACCCAUAAGUUUGUUAAAUUAAAACAUGAUCUCUACCAAUUAAUUUAACAAAGGAUUUUUUUUUUUUAUUUUUAAUUUGGAACCCUCUUUCUUGUAUUUCUAGUACCUUCAAAUACAACUAGGCCUAACUCAAUUUUACAAAACAUUUUAAAAAUGUUUAUAGCCAAAACUUUACAAGUUCUAUUAUUAUUUUUAUAUUUCCAUUGAUAGUUAUAUGCAUUGAAGUCUUUUAUUCCAAUUAGAUUCUCUUUUGGUCCAAUGAUAACACCUUCCCAUAACCAAGAAGUAUAUGAAAACAAAUAUCAAUUUUUUUAGCUACAUAUCUAACCCAUCAAAAAGGGUGGUAAAAUAAUUUUUACCAUUUUACCUUUGGAAGAAGGGAUUAAUAACAAAUGUACCUAUAGCUACAUACCCCUCUUGGGCUUUAAUUAAUAAGAAAUUUAGAUAAAAUCUUAGAACAAAUUUCUAAGAUGUAUGGGGGAAAGGGAUUACCUUGUCAUAAACACUUUGAGAAUUAAAAGAUGGAAGGGAAACUCAUAGAAUUAAGAACACUAUGUAAAGAAAACAUUUAAAUUCAAUCACGAGUCUAAGACAUAUCAAGUUUAAGACCUACCAUUCCUUUUUUACCUUUCACGUGCUUCAUAACAUGAAAACUUUCAAAAGUUGGGAUGACAAUAUCAAUAAUUAUACAGUUAACAACAAAAGACCUUUGAAAAGAAACAAUAAUAUAAUGAUAAAAUACCUUUGAGUGUAUCUCUAUAGUUUUGUACACAAAUUUAUAUAAGACGUUGCAAAGGAAAAUUGGUGUGAAAUCACCUUUGAUUUUAGGGAUGAGUCUAACCGCACAUUACCAUUAAUUUUUUUGCUAAGCCAGAAUAUUGGAUAGGCAUCAAGGGGAAGCAACGACAUCCCAACUAGGUUGGCACCCUGCAUAACCCCAAUCCUAUUCCGCCGAUCUCAGAAAAUUUUAUUAAAAAAAGGGGAAAAAAGUACAACAGGGCACUACAAAAAAUCAGGUGAAUUGUGGCGGCUAAAAACCCUCAAAAAAACAAAGAAGAAACAACAAAAAAAGAAAAGCAAGUUGUGCCAACGAUCAAAGCACUCGUCGAGUCAUUCCAAUAAAGAAAAUUCAUUGAUCAUCUGAAGUGGAUCCUCCCUGAGAGUGGGUUUUAUAAGGCGGUGGCUUACCAAUCUGAAGAUUUUUUUCUAACAUGUUGUUUCUGUUUCCGAGAUAAGACCGAAGUGAAAGGUCUAUCCGCAUUAACUUUGUCAUGUUCAUGCUGCACAUUCGGAUUGCUAUGUGGUUCAUAAACAGUCAAAAUUUUGUCACCAUUCGGAUGCAUACUUGCGCAUUGUAUUUCUCUGAUUAUGCAUAUCAAAAUCCACUGACCAUUCAAAUAAACGUAACACCGCCGGCUUCAAGUUCACAGUUCCCAUUGCCCAAACAAUUUGCAAAUCAGAUUCAGUGACAAAAAAGAAUUCAUAAAAGCCCUUACCUAAAGAUAGCAACCUCCAAGGUGCAGCAGUCUUCCAUUGUUUCCGAAGCUUGUCUUCAAUUUCCUUCGAAGCAUAGGGUUUAUCUCCUUUGUUGAGAACCAACCUUCCACGAAGGUUUCUCUUACACACAUUGACCCCCUAUUCAUAAAUUGGCUGAGUAAUACGAAUAGAGAGAGAGAGAGAGUCUCACCACGGAUUGUAGGUUGUGGUAUAUUGUCGUUGGUAGCUUUGCCAUGCGAUGCAACAAGUGCUUGUGCAAAGGACCGCGGUGGUGGUUGUGGUGCUGGAACCGCCGUUGUGGACGGCAGUGCCAUGGGAGAUGGUGCAGCUUUGGAGGAUGCAGCUGCCGGCAAUAACAACUCUGCCUGCUAGUCGAACGGCAUAGCAGAAAGUCUGUCCGUAAGUGAUCAAUCAAAUCACGUAACUUCAAUCAACAGAAUUGGAUGGCAAAGUUGCUUAUGUGAAUAUUCCAAAUUGAUUUUUCGACACAAAUCAACAAAGCAAAAAGCACCGAAAGAACUAGCACCUAAUGAUGAAUUUGUUGAAGUCUGCCACCGAUUGCUUAAUUUGUAUGGAAAAUUGCUUAAAAUGUAUAUUCCAAAUCAUUCCCACCGAUUGGAAAUUGAUGAAUUCUAAAGGAGGCUCAUGGUGCUAGAAACCCUAGCAUACCUGACGGCUCCAUUCUUUCUUAAUUUGUUUUUAUUUCAUUUUUUAUGCCGAGUCCACGAGUUUUUUUUUUUUUUUGCUAUCAAAAUUUCUUUUUGAAAAUGCAUAUGUAAUUUUUUUUCUUUGAACAUGAUUCAUCUUUGGUGGCUGCUGCUUCGAAAAAUAGCACCCUCAUCCCUUGGAUGAUAAAAACAAGAUGGUUAAACUACAUGAAACUAGGAAUUUAACCAUCUAGGUUCUAUAAUCACUUUAGUGAUACUUAGGGACAGAGACACAUUUUUUAGGGAAAUAAUAAUUUUAAUUUUAUGAAGAGGUUUCUUGUAACGAGUUAUACUUUUUUUUCUUUUUAUUGAACAAAUCACAAUAUGAUUUUUUCUACAUUAUAAAUAUCUCAAGCAAGCUUUUUGAUUCCAUUACAUUCAAAGGAGGCAAAAUAUGGAUGAAAGUUUGAAGUUUGUUUACACUAUGAUCCUUUUUCUUUCAUUAUUUUUUGUUGCAAUGAACGUUAGUAAGUCCCUUUUCUUAUCCUUUUCAAACUCUCUUAUUUACCUUACACAUAAUAUUUCAUCAUCUUUUAGUAACAUUCCAUUAUAUUUGUUUCACAUUACAGAAUCUCUUGAUUGUCAUUCUGACCAUGAAUGCUAUAAUCAACUUAGUUGUAUCAUCGAGGAGAUAUGUUUGGAUGGUUCGUGUCAUUGCCCUCCAAUAUUGUAGGACAACAAUUGGGUGCCUUUGCUAGGUUUUAGUUUAGUCUCCUCAAGAUGUUUGUCCUCUAUUGUAAUUUUUAAUUCUAUUUUACUUUGAGGUGUUGCUUUAGGGGUUAGGGUAGGGGUGCAAACCCAUAUUUUGCAUGGAAAAUGUUACAUGAACACCCUUUAUUCCUACACCUCUAACCCACACCCAAACCCGUCCCAAAUGUAAAAAACUACUUUAUGUUGAUAUGUUAUGUUAUUUUGUUUGAUAAUUGUCAUGUUAAUAAAAACUACCAUUGAUAUUUAAAUGAUCAACUAAAUAAUUUUGUCUAACAAAUGUGAAAGUGAACUUAUUGUUGGAUAAUGUAUUACAACGUUGCUCUUGGGGAUGCAAAAAAACUUAUAUUUUUUAUUAAAAAAAUUAUUCAAUGCGGGGACGGGGAUGGGGCGGGGAUACCCGAACCCGUUGGGGACGUGGAUGUGAUUCAAUUUCUCAUCCCCGUUGGGUAUGGGUAGGGUAACAGGUAAGUAUAUAAGAAUCGGGUAUGGGGACAGGGAAGAUAAAACACGUCCCCACCCCGCCCCAUUGCCAUGCCUACAUCUAUGGUUCAAAUUUUCUCGUUAAAAAAUCAAGGGUUAAUACCCCUUUUGGUCCCUGUAAUAUGAGAAAUUUUCAAUUUUAGUCCCUGUAAAUAAGAAAAUUUAGAUUCUGUCCCUAUCAUUUCAUAUUUUUCCACUUUUGGUCCCUCGCUCAAACUAGUCAGCAGAAUAUGCUGACGUGUCCUACUGAUUGUGUAAUUAUUUUCUUUUUUUUUUUAAUUGGUUUCAGAUGCCACUUGUAUAUUUAAUUUAUAAACCAUUUAUUUAAAUGUUAAAAUUUUUAAAAUCAAAUCAUCCAAUUAAAAUCAUUCAUCAAUGUUUUCCAUCUUCUCCUUCCCAUCGUGACUCUUCUUCUUCAUACUCCUCAAGAUUCUUCUUCUUCCAUUCAAACCCAAACUCAUGAAUCUUCAUCAUCUUCAACUCAAACUCAUAAAAACUUAUAACCAGUAAUCUCAUCACCCAUUUUCUCCCUCAUUUUCUUCAAUGCUCUUUCAACCUUUCUCUUUCCCACACAAACCUUCAUCUCCAAAACAAAACCCAUAACCCAAAAAAAACUAAACUUUAAAUAAAAAAUGGAAAAGUGUGAGUCAAGGAUGAUGGGUUUUCCAGAUCUGGAAUUGGGAGAUAGAAAAUCGAAUUCCAACACCCAUCCAUUUUCAAAUCUGCAAUUAACCCUGGAGUUGGGAGAGAAAAAAAUGAAUUCGAAAUUACCAUGUUUUGAGAAUGAAUUUCAGGGUUUGUUGAUGGAUUUUUGGAUGAAGAAGUUGAACACUUGUUAACCAAAAAAAUUGAAAUUUAUGAAAGGGUAAAAGAAGAACCUGAAUUUAUGGAUGAAGAACCCGAAUUUAUGCCACUUGGGUUUAUGAUGAAGAGGAAGAAGAAGAACCUGUUUUUUUUUUUUUUUAAGAGAAGAAGAAGAAUCGUUCUUGUUGCUGCAUAUUCUUGUUUUUGUUGUUUUUUAUUUAUUUUUUUUUUUUUACGAAAAUAUAUUUUGUGGUUUUUUAAUUGUAAUUUUAAUAUGUUUUUUAUUUAAUUUUUAAAUAAAAUAAACAACUGAAUCCAAGUGGCAUUUGAAUCCAAUUAAAAAAAUGAAAAAAAAUAAGAUAAUUACACAAUCAGUUGGAUACAUCAGCAAAUUUUGCUGACAAGUUUAAGUGAGGGAUCAAAAGCGGAAGAAUCUCAAAUGAUAGGGAUAGAAUCUAAACGUUUUUUUUACAGGGACAAAAACCGGAUUUCGCUCAUAUUACAGAGACCAAAAUAUGUAUUAAUCCAAAAAUCAAUUAACAUUUGUCUCAAUUGUAUGUUAUUUCUAUAACUAAUUUUAAAAUCGUUUAAAAUUAUCGCUCUUUUGAUAUUUUCCCCUUGUAUGUAUUGAUGAAGACUAAAAAAGAAAUACAAAUAAUAAUGGAGGCUCAUAAGAAAAAUGUAUUACUUAUCCCCGUGAGCAUAGUUCAGUUGAUAGGGACAUGCAUUGUUAUAUGUAGGGGUCGGAAUUCGAACCCCGGACACCUCACUUAUUCACCUUAAAAAAUGUGAAUUAUAGUUACUAGGAUUCAAACCCAACUUUUAUUGCAAAAUGAUUUGUGAGAGAGGUCAUUAUUAAGUUCAACUUAUCACUUUAGUGGCAUAAAGGGACAAACACAUUUAAUAAUAAUUUUAGUUUUAUGACCGGUUUCUUGUAGCAUGUGAAAUGUGGGCGCGGUUUUGCAUAAGGAAAUCCUUAUGCACCCUGCAUAAAUCCAGAAAUGAUUUUUGUGAGUUGUAUUUCAAAAUCAUUAGAUGUACUUAAUAGUUUACAGCACCCUGCAUAAAAUUAUAUCAAAACCAUUUUGCUGUGGAAAUGGUUUCUGAAUUGUACUCCAAAACCAUUUCUGGAUUUAUGCAGAGUGCAUAAGGAUUUUCUCAACAAAAAAAACCAUGCUUUUUACAUUGUUAAUGUCUCAAACAAACUUUUUAAUUCUCUUACAUUCAAUUGAGGCAAAAUAUGAUGUAACAACUAACAAGUGAUACUUUUUUUUUAGACAAUGUUUAAUUCCCUACCAUUUAGCCGAGUUUUGUUUUUACGCCAUUAAAAUAAAUGUUUUAGAUUUUCCCUUGUUGUUUUAAAAUUCUUUUAUUUUAAACCUUGAGCUCAUUUGACUCGGUAAGUAAGAUGAUGUUACAAUCAAUCUUUCUCUUCACCUUCAUUCAUCUUUGUCUACACAUUCAUAACUUUAUCAUCAAAUUCACAGAACCUAGAAAAAUCAAAAUCAAAACCUACAAAUAUAUGCGAGUUAUGAAUGUGAGGAGAAAGAUGAAGGUUAGGAAGAUGAAGGGGAAUGAAUUUUAAUGGGAUUGAUGAUGAAUUUGGUGAUGAAUGUGAUGAAGUGGAAGAGAAAUAAUUUUUAUAAAAUAUUUAUUUAUUAUGUUUAACUGUAACACCCCGUUACCCAAAAGUAAUAAAAUAGCAUAUAAACAUCAGAGUAUUUCACCAAACGGGCAUGCUACAUCGCAACUUCAAAAUUCUUAAAUAGAAAAUAAAACUAUUUAAUUCAACAACAGUCAUAACUUCAAUUAAUGCAGCGGAAAGUUUUGCAUUUUCAAUAGCAACAACAAUGUUUUAAUCUCCAACAACAUCUUGGCAUUAAGCCUAAACAACAAAAGUUAGCCAAUGAAAGGGCACAUCAACAAGUUCCAAAAUUUGAUACAUGGAAGGGAAACAACAAUGAAAUAAUAAAAUGACUCCCAACCCACGUAUCAGAGCCCUAGACACGACUCUUGAGCCACCACCGACUACUCAGGAUCACCUGCAAGUUACCCAUAGGAAGGGCAACAUUUUCAAGCAGAAGGGGUGAGAUUCACAACAAUAAAUAUAGAUAUUAAAAUCAUCAAAUGAAUCUAACACCCUAUAACUUCAAACAUGUUCACUUGCAAAUAUUAUAAUUAUUCACAACCACAACAACAUCAUCAUAAUCAUCCACUUAACAAGUAGUAUACAAUGUAUAUAAUAUCAUCAACAUCAACAAUACAUCAAGACCACAAUGAAUACACAUAUAUAGGAAUGUAUAUCAAACAUCAACAUCAACAAUACAUCAAGACUCAUGCAAAUGACAUGACCACUGCUAAGACACCAUCUUAGACUUCUUAAUGAGAUGCAAUUAUGCAUGUGGUACCAAUCAGGACCGAGGCCCUCACCGCUUUUGAAUGGUUAAAGCAUUCAUCAGGACCGAAACCCUCACCGCUGUUGAGCAACUAGUACUCCAGGACCGAAGCCCUCACCGCUGUUUUAUGCAUAUGCAAUGGACCUACUUGUGUAUAUCUACAUACAACUGACCAUGCAAUGCAACUCCAUGUGACUCCAAUUAAAUACAACAUGUAUGAUUCAAUACUUUGCAUACAUUUCAUUCAUCAUCAGUACUCAUCAAUUCAGCAAUCAAAUCAAUCACAAUAAUGUAUAAUUAUACGCAACCAUACUCAAAUACAACAACACCAACCACUACUAAUCAAGCUAGCAAAACUACACUCUGGAACUGGGCAGCUCGCCUCGCGAGCACAUCUGCUCGCCGUGGCGAGUUCACGGAAAACACUAGCUCGCCAUGGCGAGUUCAAGGCGAACUCGAGGCGAGUGAAAAUCAGGUGCUCUCGGGAAAAAGUGACAUUUUCUCACUCAAACUCCAAUUCUAAGCUCCCUAUUCAUCUUUUUAACCUAAAACUUCCACCAUUCAUCUUUAUUAUCAUCUAGGUACCUUAAACCAUCCCCAAAAUAUCUUAUACAACUUUUCAAAAAUCAAGUUUUAUCUGGGCUUACUCGCCAUGGCGAGUUGGACUGCUCGCGAGGCGAGUAGUGAUGUUGUUCACUCGCGAGGCGAGACAUGAAUGCUCGCGAGGCGAGCGAUGAACAUCAGUACGGGCAGAAAACUGGUUUUUCCCCAAAAUCCCAUUUUUCUUCCAAUCACUCCCCAAAUCAGUUUACAGAUGCAAAUUAACUUUCUGUGUGCAACUAGAACCUAUUUCUAACAUCAAAUUCAUGCUUACAACUUCAAAAACUAUAAUUUCAUCAUAAAACCCAAAAUCCCCAAUUUCUACCAAAACCUGUUAAACUCAAAAUCAGACUUUAAAUUCUACAUUAAUGAAGUAAACCCCACCCUUACCUUAGUUCAGAAUGACAAAUGCACAGCAACAGGGGUUCCUCUAGUUCUUCUCUCUUGCUCCUGGUUUUCUCUUCCUUGGUUUGUUUUCACGUAAAAUGAUUCUGACUCCCACUUUCUAUUUUCUUAACUUCCCACUUAAGAGUAACUCCCCCUAAAUACACUUAACUCCCCCAAAUCCUAAUAAUUCCAAUUAAUUCCCCAAACUCCAAAAUAACUAAUAUUUCAUACUUAUUUUAAUUAUUAAUAAAUAAACCAUAUACUAAAAUAAUACACCACAUAAAACAUCCAAAAAUCACAUAUACACGAAUAUAUGCAUAUACUCCACAUAAAUCACCAAACAUCAUAUAUAAUAAUAUAUAUAUAUAUACUCCACAUAAUAAAAUUAAUUAAAUAAAUAACUAGGGCGUUACAACUCUCCCCAAAUUACAGAAUUUCGUCCUCGAAAUCUUACCUCAAGCAAACAACUCCGGAUACGACUCCCGCAUCUUACUCUCCAGCUCCCAAGUCAAACUUUCACCAGUCGCUCCACCCCAAACGACUCUCACAAGAGGUAUUUCUUUACCUCUCAAGGACUUCACCUUCUUGUCAUCAAUCCUCAACGGCAUAGUCUCAACAGUCAAGUUGUCCCUAACCUGCACAUCAUCAUCCCUCGGAAUCACAUGAGAAGGAUCCGCAACAUAUUUCCGAAGCUGAGAAACAUGAAACACGUCGUGCAAGUUCGAAAGAUGUGGUGGCAAACCAACUCUAUAUGCCACUGUACCAAUUCUCUCUGAAAUCUGAUACGGUCCAAUAAACUUAGGAGUCAACUUCCUCGACUUCAAGGCACGUCCAACACCCGUCAACGGAGUGACCCUCAGAAAAACAUGAUCACCCUCCUGAAACUCAAGAUCCUUUCUUCGCUUGUCAUGGUAACUCUUCUGGUUUAGGCAAAAUCAAAACAGGAGCAGUUGUCAAUCUUCGCUUCAACUCAUUGAAACUACUCUCACACUGAGCAUCCCACACAAAAGGUUUACCCUUACAGGUCAACUGCGUCAACGGAAGAGCCAACUUCGAAAACCCUUUUAUGAACCUGCGGUAAUAACCAGCCAAACCCAGAAAACUUCUAAUCUCAGUUACUGACUUCGGAGUCUCCCAUUGUGAUACCGCAUCAACCUUUGAAGGAUCCACCGCAAUACCACUACCAAGAAAUAAUGUGACCCAAGAAAACUUACUUCACGUAACCAGAAUUCACAUUGUGAUAACUUAGCAUACAACCUCUUUUCCUUCAACACUUGCAACACUAUUCUCAGAUGCUCUGCAUGCUCCUCCUCAUUCUUGGAAUAGAUUAGAAUAUCAUCAAUAAAUACCACCACAAACUUAUCCAGAAAAGCAUGGAAAAUUCGGUUCAUGUACUCCAUAAAAACACCAGGCGCAUUAGUAACACCGAAAGGCAUCACUUUGUACUCGUAAUGACCAUAACGUGUCCUAAAGGCCGUCUUCUGCAUAUCCUCAUCCUUCACUUUUAUCUGAUGAUAACCAGCCCUCAAAUCAAUCUUACUGAAAAUCUUGGCACCAACCAACUGAUCCAUCAAGUCGUCAAUUCUAGGAAGCGGAUACCUGUUCUUGAUCGUAACUUUGUUCAACUGACGGUAAUCUAUACAAAGUCUCAUACUACCAUCCUUCUUCUUUACCAACAACACCGGUGCUCCCCAAGGUGAAACACUGGGUCUUACAAAUUUCUUAUCUAACAGGUCCUCCAAUUGUUUCUUCAACUCAGCCAACUCAGAAGCUGACAUACGGUACGGUGCCAUCGACACCGGCUUAGUUCCUGGAACAAGAUCAAUUGAGAAUUCAACCUCCCUCUCUGGUGGCACAUCAGGAAUUUCAUCAGGGAAAACUUCUGGAAACUCAUUCACUACAGGUAAACCAUCAACCACAGCUUGAUUUUCUAACGACAAUUGUGCCAUUAGAGAAUACAUCAGGAUACCAUCACGUUCAAACUGUUUCAUCUGUUUCGUAGACAGAAGCUCAACCUCACCUUCUUCUUCAGCAGAAGAGAAAUGUACCGUCUUACUAAAGCAGUUGAUAUGAACUCGAUUAUACUCUAACCAAUUCAUACCAAAGAUAACAUCCAUACCCGUCAACGGCAGACAAACCAAGUCAAUCACAAAAUCUCUACCAAACAUAGAUAUAGGACACCGCAGACAAACAAGAGAAGUGGUUACUGAACCCUUAGCUGGAGUUUCAACAACCAUUUCUCCUUUCAUAUCAGAUAUAUCCAAACCCAACUUAUAAGCACAUUCAAUAGCAAUAAAACAGUGAGUAGCACCAGUAUCAAUAAUAGCAAUUAAAGGAGUACUAUUAAAGAAACAAGUACCUCUGAUAAGUCGGUCCUCAUUAGGAGUCUGUGUACCAGUCAGAGCAAACACCUUUCCACCAAUUCUAGUCUUCUUCGGCUCAGGACACUGUGAACUGAUAUGACCUUCCCCAUUGCAGUUGUAACAGACAAUGUCCCCACGCUUGCAUUCAGCUAAACUGUGACCCUUCUGACCACACCUGAAGCACUUCCUAUCAUCUCUUCCACAAACAUUACUCUUGUGGCCUUUCUCACCACACUUGUAACAAACAAUCUCAACUGGAGCAUCUCUCCUCUUGGGCCUCCUAUCAUCACCCAUCCUCUGCUUUCCCUUGUCCGCAGGAGCACUGUAAGGCUUAGGACGAUUCUGUUGUCCCUUACCCCUCCUCUCACUCAUAAUCUUGUAAUGAGCUUUGGUGUCUUCUUCAUAAAUCCUACACCUGUUAACCAACUCAGAAAAGACUCUGAUCUGUUGAUAUCCAAUGGCUCUUUUGAUGUCAGCCCUCAGCCCAUUCUCAAACUUAAUACACUUGGAGAACUCAGCCGUCUCCGCACUAUAAUGAGGAUAGAAUGUGGCAAGCUCCACAAACUUUGCAGCAUACUCUGUGACAGACAUGUCACCCUGUUUCAAUUCCAGAAACUCAAUCUCUUUCUUACCUCUGACAUCCUCUGGAAAAUACCUGCCCAGAAACUCCUUCCUGAACAUGGCCCAGGUAACCACAGCAUCAUCCUGUUCCAACACAGGCAACAAGCUAAUCCACCAAUCAUCAGCCUCUUCAGCUAGCAUGUGCGUCCCAAACCGCACUUUCUGAACCUCGGAACACUGCAUGACCCUGAAAAUUCUUUCAAUCUCCUUCAGCCACUUCUGAGCACCGUCAGGAUCAUACCUACCCUUGAAAGUUGGUGGAUAAUCCCUCAGGAAAGUCUCAAGCAUCCUGGUUCCAUCACCACCAGUGUCAACCUUAGGUUGCUGUUGAACAACUUGAGCUACAGCCUCAAGCGCAACAACUAAAGCAGCAUCACUACUCCCAGUCAUCUCGAGAUUCUACAUGACAAACAACAACUCAGAACAACAACAAAAGCAACAAUAAAGUUGACACUCUAUCCUAGGUGGCUCAACAAGACUCUACUACUUGGCCGGACGGACCAACCUGCUCUGAUACCAAAUUGUAACACCCCGUUACCCAAAAGUAAUAAAAUAGCAUAUAAACAUCAGAGUAUUUCACCAAACGGGCAUGCUACAUCGCAACUUCAAAAUUCUUAAAUAGAAAAUAAAACUAUUUAAUUCAACAACAGUCAUAACUUCAAUUAAUGCAGCGGAAAGUUUUGCAUUUUCAAUAGCAACAACAAUGUUUUAAUCUCCAACAACAUCUUGGCAUUAAGCCUAAACAACAAAAGUUAGCCAAUGAAAGGGCACAUCAACAAGUUCCAAAAUUUGAUACAUGGAAGGGAAACAACAAUGAAAUAAUAAAAUGACUCCCAACCCACGUAUCAGAGCCCUAGACACGACUCUUGAGCCACCACCGACUACUCAGGAUCACCUGCAAGUUACCCAUAGGAAGGGCAACAUUUUCAAGCAGAAGGGGUGAGAUUCACAACAAUAAAUAUAGAUAUUAAAAUCAUCAAAUGAAUCUAACACCCUAUAACUUCAAACAUGUUCACUUGCAAAUAUUAUAAUUAUUCACAACCACAACAACAUCAUCAUAAUCAUCCACUUAACAAGUAGUAUACAAUGUAUAUAAUAUCAUCAACAUCAACAAUACAUCAAGACCACAAUGAAUACACAUAUAUAGGAAUGUAUAUCAAACAUCAACAUCAACAAUACAUCAAGACUCAUGCAAAUGACAUGACCACUGCUAAGACACCAUCUUAGACUUCUUAAUGAGAUGCAAUUAUGCAUGUGGUACCAAUCAGGACCGAGGCCCUCACCGCUUUUGAAUGGUUAAAGCAUUCAUCAGGACCGAAACCCUCACCGCUGUUGAGCAACUAGUACUCCAGGACCGAAGCCCUCACCGCUGUUUUAUGCAUAUGCAAUGGACCUACUUGUGUAUAUCUACAUACAACUGACCAUGCAAUGCAACUCCAUGUGACUCCAAUUAAAUACAACAUGUAUGAUUCAAUACUUUGCAUACAUUUCAUUCAUCAUCAGUACUCAUCAAUUCAGCAAUCAAAUCAAUCACAAUAAUGUAUAAUUAUACGCAACCAUACUCAAAUACAACAACACCAACCACUACUAAUUAAGCUAGCAAAACUACACUCUGGAACUGGGCAGCUCGCCUCGCGAGCACAUCUGCUCGCCGUGGCGAGUUCACGGAAAACACUAGCUCGCCAUGGCGAGUUCAAGGCGAACUCGAGGCGAGUGAAAAUCAGGUGCUCUCGGGAAAAAGUGACAUUUUCUCACUCAAACUCCAAUUCUAAGCUCCCUAUUCAUCUUUUUAACCUAAAACUUCCACCAUUCAUCUUUAUUAUCAUCUAGGUACCUUAAACCAUCCCCAAAAUAUCUUAUACAACUUUUCAAAAAUCAAGUUUUAUCUGGGCUUACUCGCCAUGGCGAGUUGGACUGCUCGCGAGGCGAGUAGUGAUGUUGUUCACUCGCGAGGCGAGACAUGAAUGCUCGCGAGGCGAGCGAUGAACAUCAGUACGGGCAGAAAACUGGUUUUUCCCCAAAAUCCCAUUUUUCUUCCAAUCACUCCCCAAAUCAGUUUACAGAUGCAAAUUAACUUUCUGUGUGCAACUAGAACCUAUUUCUAACAUCAAAUUCAUGCUUACAACUUCAAAAACUAUAAUUUCAUCAUAAAACCCAAAAUCCCCAAUUUCUACCAAAACCUGUUAAACUCAAAAUCAGACUUUAAAUUCUACAUUAAUGAAGUAAACCCCACCCUUACCUUAGUUCAGAAUGACAAAUGCACAGCAACAGGGGUUCCUCUAGUUCUUCUCUCUUGCUCCUGGUUUUCUCUUCCUUGGUUUGUUUUCACGUAAAAUGAUUCUGACUCCCACUUUCUAUUUUCUUAACUUCCCACUUAAGAGUAACUCCCCCUAAAUACACUUAACUCCCCCAAAUCCUAAUAAUUCCAAUUAAUUCCCCAAACUCCAAAAUAACUAAUAUUUCAUACUUAUUUUAAUUAUUAAUAAAUAAACCAUAUACUAAAAUAAUACACCACAUAAAACAUCCAAAAAUCACAUAUACACGAAUAUAUGCAUAUACUCCACAUAAAUCACCAAACAUCAUAUAUAAUAAUAUAUAUAUAUAUACUCCACAUAAUAAAAUUAAUUAAAUAAAUAACUAGGGCGUUACAACUCUCCCCAAAUUACAGAAUUUCGUCCUCGAAAUCUUACCUCAAGCAAACAACUCCGGAUACGACUCCCGCAUCUUACUCUCCAGCUCCCAAGUCAAACUUUCACCAGUCGCUCCACCCCAAACGACUCUCACAAGAGGUAUUUCUUUACCUCUCAAGGACUUCACCUUCUUGUCAUCAAUCCUCAACGGCAUAGUCUCAACAGUCAAGUUGUCCCUAACCUGCACAUCAUCAUCCCUCGGAAUCACAUGAGAAGGAUCCGCAACAUAUUUCCGAAGCUGAGAAACAUGAAACACGUCGUGCAAGUUCGAAAGAUGUGGUGGCAAACCAACUCUAUAUGCCACUGUACCAAUUCUCUCUGAAAUCUGAUACGGUCCAAUAAACUUAGGAGUCAACUUCCUCGACUUCAAGGCACGUCCAACACCCGUCAACGGAGUGACCCUCAGAAAAACAUGAUCACCCUCCUGAAACUCAAGAUCCUUUCUUCGCUUGUCAUGGUAACUCUUCUGGUUUAGGCAAAAUCAAAACAGGAGCAGUUGUCAAUCUUCGCUUCAACUCAUUGAAACUACUCUCACACUGAGCAUCCCACACAAAAGGUUUACCCUUACAGGUCAACUGCGUCAACGGAAGAGCCAACUUCGAAAACCCUUUUAUGAACCUGCGGUAAUAACCAGCCAAACCCAGAAAACUUCUAAUCUCAGUUACUGACUUCGGAGUCUCCCAUUGUGAUACCGCAUCAACCUUUGAAGGAUCCACCGCAAUACCACUACCAGAAAUAAUGUGACCCAAGAAAACUUACUUCACGUAACCAGAAUUCACAUUGUGAUAACUUAGCAUACAACCUCUUUUCCUUCAACACUUGCAACACUAUUCUCAGAUGCUCUGCAUGCUCCUCCUCAUUCUUGGAAUAGAUUAGAAUAUCAUCAAUAAAUACCACCACAAACUUAUCCAGAAAAGCAUGGAAAAUUCGGUUCAUGUACUCCAUAAAAACACCAGGCGCAUUAGUAACACCGAAAGGCAUCACUUUGUACUCGUAAUGACCAUAACGUGUCCUAAAGGCCGUCUUCUGCAUAUCCUCAUCCUUCACUUUUAUCUGAUGAUAACCAGCCCUCAAAUCAAUCUUACUGAAAAUCUUGGCACCAACCAACUGAUCCAUCAAGUCGUCAAUUCUAGGAAGCGGAUACCUGUUCUUGAUCGUAACUUUGUUCAACUGACGGUAAUCUAUACAAAGUCUCAUACUACCAUCCUUCUUCUUUACCAACAACACCGGUGCUCCCCAAGGUGAAACACUGGGUCUUACAAAUUUCUUAUCUAACAGGUCCUCCAAUUGUUUCUUCAACUCAGCCAACUCAGAAGCUGACAUACGGUACGGUGCCAUCGACACCGGCUUAGUUCCUGGAACAAGAUCAAUUGAGAAUUCAACCUCCCUCUCUGGUGGCACAUCAGGAAUUUCAUCAGGGAAAACUUCUGGAAACUCAUUCACUACAGGUAAACCAUCAACCACAGCUUGAUUUUCUAACGACAAUUGUGCCAUUAGAGAAUACAUCAGGAUACCAUCACGUUCAAACUGUUUCAUCUGUUUCGUAGACAGAAGCUCAACCUCACCUUCUUCUUCAGCAGAAGAGAAAUGUACCGUCUUACUAAAGCAGUUGAUAUGAACUCGAUUAUACUCUAACCAAUUCAUACCAAAGAUAACAUCCAUACCCGUCAACGGCAGACAAACCAAGUCAAUCACAAAAUCUCUACCAAACAUAGAUAUAGGACACCGCAGACAAACAAGAGAAGUGGUUACUGAACCCUUAGCUGGAGUAUCAACAACCAUUUCUCCUUUCAUAUCAGAUAUAUCCAAACCCAACUUAUAAGCACAUUCAAUAGCAAUAAAACAGUGAGUAGCACCAGUAUCAAUAAUAGCAAUUAAAGGAGUACUAUUAAAGAAACAAGUACCUCUGAUAAGUCGGUCCUCAUUAGGAGUCUGUGUACCAGUCAGAGCAAACACCUUUCCACCAAUUCUAGUCUUCUUCGGCUCAGGACACUGUGAACUGAUAUGACCUUCCCCAUAUCACUUGUUAAAAGAAACCAUUUGUAAAACAAAAAAUAUUAUUAUAUAUUCUUGUCCUUUUGUCUCACUGAAGUGGUCAGUUGAAAUUAUCACGUACAAAUCUGGUUCGUAAUAAGAGGUAAUCCAUUUUUUUUUAUAAACCUUUCAUUAUUAUUUGUAUUUCUUUAUUAGCCUUAAUGAAAAACAAGAGAAAAAUACCAAUAGAGGCGUCUUUGGAAUUUUAUGAAACUUGGCUGAUCAUUUCUAUGUAUUUUUAUAUAGGUAUCACCAAAAAAAACCCGCUAAAAUUAUGAUUUUAAAGUUAAGGUUUUCGUUGUUUUGGUUUUUGACGCUUUAGAAAUUGAUAAUCAAUUUGUUCUUUGUCGGAAAAUUCUAAUUUUAGGUAGGAGGCCUUAUAUUAAUGUCGUAUACAUACCUACCUGUAAAAAAGCAUUAAAAAAAUACGACAUCUAUGUCCCUUUCGUAUUAGCGCCUCAUGUGCGAUUGGGCUAUUGGAGGAUUAAGAUGAAAAUAAUCUUGAAAUACAAAGUGGAAUCUGUGUUUUUAUUGAGGCGUAUCUCCAGACUUUGUGUAUAUUAUAGGAGCUAUUUCAACAAUUAACCCUAAAAAUAAAAUAGAAAAUACAAAACAUGGGGGCAUAAACUAAACUUAUGAUAGUAAAAAAAAUUAGAAAGGAGAUUCCUACCUCUAUAAAUAUUCUCAAAAAUAAAUGGCGGGAUUAGAUUACAUUAGACAAAUUCUAGGUUUGAAAUGCCAAAAUUAUCCUACAGAUCUGCAUAAGUAUUUUCUACCCUAAAAAUAUGAAAAUAUAAUAAUCACAUUUUAGCAGUGAGCUUUAUGCAGUUUAAGCAUAAUUUCUUAACAUCCAAGGGAUGAGUAUGUUGUAUUUGAAAGCAGCAACUACCAAAGGCGAAACACAUUUUUACAAAAUAUUAUGUCUGAUUCUUUGAAGAAAAAAAAAUUAUCACCUAUGAUCCCCCACAUAAAAUGCAUUAUGUCUUAUAUAUAUAUAUAUAUAUGGCUUAAAUGCAAUUUUACCCCCCCUAUUUUGAUUGAAUCUGAAUUUUACCCCCCCCUAUUUUAAAAUUCGGAAUUUUACCCCCUCUAUUUUGAUUGAAUCGGGAUUUUGCCCCCCUUAUUUUAAAACUCGGAAUUUUACCCCCUCUAUUUUACGUUUUUCAGAAUUUUACCCCCUAUUUUAAAAUAAAGAACCAAAAAAUACUAGAAAAAUAAAGAAACGAUUAGAAAAUAUUAAUUUGGUAAAAAAAUAUAAGGAAAACAAGAAAACACAAAAAAAAAAAAAAAGUAAAAAAUAGAAAAACAAUGAAAUUACAAGAAAAAAAUCAAUUAAGAAGAAUACAUGAAAAAACUAGUUUGCACCUCUAAAUAUUUGUUAUUUUCAUGUAUUUUCAUACUAGUUUUUUAUUUUAUUUUUAGAGAUCAUACUAGUUUUAUGCAUUUUUUCUAGUAUUUUUUAUUCAUUUUUUUUAGUAUUUUUUUGGUUUUAUUUUUAUUCUUUCAUUAAAAAACAUUUAAUACAAAUAAUUAAUUAUGUGGAUAAAAUAGGGGGAGGGAGGCAAAAUCCUGAAAAACAUAAAAUAGGGGGGGUAAAAUUCCGAGUUUUAAAAUAGAGGGGGUAAAAUUCCGAGUUUUAAAAUAGGGGGGGCAAAAUUCAGAUUCAAUCAAAAUAGAGGGGGUAAAAUUGCAUUUAAGCCUAACAAAAAAUACACUGAUAUAUGAAACAAUAUAAGGCAAGGCUAUGGGGAAGGGAAAGACAUGCAAUGAUUGACAACUAGAGUUUUUCUCUUCCAUUUUUUAUGUGUUCUCCAUUUUCUAUUUUAUCUCUUUGUUCAUAAGUAAAGUACACUCAUUUCAACGACUAGAAGAUUCAUAAGGAUUUAGAGCACAUAUGUUGCUAUCUAAAAUCAUAGUAACUUUUUUGAUCAACUCAUUCACAAAUUCAUCAAGAGAUGCAAAUUUUUAGGGAAUGAUAAGAAUUAAAGGAAUAAGUUCCAAAUUGAAUUAAAGGAAUUCAAUGUGAUGAAAACUGCUUUUCUCACGUUCAACUUUUCUUAAAAACACAUGAAAAAUACAUUUUUGCCCCCAACGGUAGUUAACGACCGAUGCAUCUUUUCAGUUGUAGUUAACUACUGCUAAGCCAGCUGCAAUUAACUGCAGUUGGCUCAGGUACACUUAAGUGUAGUUCCGGGCAAAGGAUCAAUUGUGAUUUUGCGUGUUUUAGACGAAAAAUCAAAAUAAAUCGAGGCUUAUUCGGAAUGCUACGACACUUUGCAGAUCCUCUAUGUGUAUAUUUAUAAGGUGUAUCGUAGCAUUCCGACUAAGUCUCAAUUUAUUUUCAAGUGCGCGUCCGAAAAAGUGAUCUAGAUAUUGAUUUUUUUCAUGCUUUUUUGCAUGCAUGUUUAGGAUAAAAAACAUCUUCCAUAAAAAAUUUGAAUUUUCCGACAAGGGACGGAUUAAAUAUGAAUUUUUAACACGCAUAAAACUCAUGACAUCAAAACAUUGAAUUAGAAAUUGAAUUUUAAGCUUUUUUUUUUUGCAGACACCUCUAUAAAAAUACAUAUAGAGGAUCACGAAAGUUUCGUAGUAUUCUAACUAAGCCUCGAUUUAUUUUGAUUUUUCGACCGAAAAGUGUAAAAUCGCAAUUUUUUUCCCAAGUGUGCUUCUGGAAAAGUGACGUAGAGGAUGAAUUUUUUUCAUUAUUUUUUUGCAUGCAUGUUUAGGACAUAAAAACAACAUCUUCUACAAAAAAAAUUAAAAUUUUCCAACAAGGGACAAAUUAAAUAUGAAUUUUUAAUGCACCAAAAACUCAAGAAACGAAAAUAUCAAAACAUCAACCUAGAAAUCAAAAUUUGAGUUUUUUUUUUUUUUUGCAGACACCUCUAUAACAAUACAUAUAGAGGAUCGAAUCAAAUGGGGAAGGUCAUUUUUUUGUAUUUAGGCCUUCCGAUUGGUGGUGAUUUGAGUCGUUUAAUGUUUUGGGAGCCGGUAUUGGAUCGAAUCAAAAAGAGAUUAUCAAGGUGUAGUAAAUUUCUUUCAUUUGGUGGUCGUAUGGUUCUCUUCAAGUUUGUCUUAUCCUUCAUUCAUGUCUAUGCUCUUUCCUUCUUCAAAGUCCCGUCAGGUAUAAUCUCUUCCAUGAAAUCUAUAUUUAUAAAAAAAAAAAAAAAAAAAUUGGGGUGUGUGUGAGGAUCAUAGGAAAAUCUCAUGGGUUGCUUGGAAUAAUAUUUGUGUCAGUAAGGAGUCUAGAGGUUUGGGGGUGCAGAGGAUGAGGGAGUUUAAUAUUGACCUGUUAGAGAAAUGGUGUUGGAGGUUACUAGUCGAUAAAAACAGUUUGUGGUAUAGGGUGUUGGUAGCUCGUUAUGGUGAGGAGGAUGAGAGGUUGAAGGUUGGGGGCCAGAGUGUUUCUUCGUGGUGGAGGGAGGUGGCGAGUAUUCGUGACGGGUUAGGAGAGACAGGUGAUGGUUAGUUUAAGGAGAAUGUUGUGCGCAAGGUCAGUAACGGGGCAAAUACGUUGUUUUGGGUGGAUCAGUGAGUGGGAGAUGUGCCUCUAUGUGUGCAGUUUAGCCGUUAUUAUGACUUAGUAGUGAUUAAGUCUAUUACUGUGGCUGAAAUGUUUUUUUUUGGGUGUGAGAAAGGUGGGGAGGCUUGGCAGUGGCGUCGGCGGUUGUGGACUUGGGAGGAGGAGUUGUUAGGGAAGUGUAGGAUGUUAAUAUCUAACAUUUCUUUAAAGAAAACUUCUACAGAUCGAUGGGUGUGGAGGCUCCGUCGAAUGUUAUACAGUUAGUGGUGUUUACCAUAUGCUCACCAGUCAACCAGUUCAGACAACAAAUGUGAUAUCAUAUUUAAUUUGGCACAAACAAAAGUUCCUUUGAAGGUCUCUGUUCUUGUGUGGCGCCUCAUCCGGAAUAGAUUGCCAACAAAGGAUAAUCUGUUCGCUCAUGGAAUCAUUCCUCACGGCAAUCAUCAUUAGGGCUGGACAAGGACCCGUGACCCGGCCCAAACCGAAAAAAACCGAGGGGAAAACCCGAAACUGAGCGGGUUAAAACGGGUCCUCGGGUCAGCGGGUUACAGAUACGGGUAUACAAGGGUUUACAUGGGCAGAGGCGGGUAAAGGAUCUUCACCCGCGGGUACCCGAACCAGCCCGAGUUACACUACAAUAUUUUUAUUUAUUCACAUUUGAAAACCAGGUUGUAGUAUUUCCUCUUUUGAGAAACACAACCUGCAAAACCACACAUAAACUGCAAAACCACUACUCUUUCUUGAAAACUGUUGGCUUUCUCUCUCUCUCUCUCUCUCAGUUGUAUUGCAUUUAUUUUUAUUAUAUACAAUUAAUUGUUUCGAAACAAUUUAGCAUUAUAAUAAUAACCUUUUUUGACUAAUGUACUACUUUAUAUCAUAUUUAUUAAUAUUGACCACCAGUAUUUAUUUUCCUUUAAUUUUCAUUUAAAGCUACCUGUAAACCUGAAUCUCUCUCACUACUUCUUCAAACGCAAACGCAUGCUUCAUCAUCUCAUUGCUUCUCUAGACUAUCUUCUCUAAGCUAACAACAUGCUCUAUCACUCUCUUGUUUUUCGAUGGACUAUCUUCCUCCUCUGUCCUCUUCUUUAGCUUCUUUUUAAUCUCAUUCUUCUCAAAUCUCAUUUUUCUUGGUCUUCUUCAUCUUGGUUGGUGUGUUGAUACAUACACAGAUCGGAGGAUACUAUACUGUUUUUUCAUUUUUUUUUCUCUGAAUCUUCAAAACCGCACAUACCCGCUCGAUAAACCUGUGGCCCGAAAGACCCAAACCCGUACAAACCGAAGAAGAAAAAUGGGUAGAAAUGGGUUGCUACACACAAACCGCGGGUUGGUAUGGGUUGAAGGUUUGGGCCCGAACCCUCCCGAACCCGUCCGAUGUCCACCCCUAAUCAUCAUUGUGUGGCGGGAUGCGGCGAGGUCGAAACAGCCCAAAAUCUGUUAAUUUCCUGUCCGAUUUUUGCAGGAAUUUGGGGACAUAUUCGGUCCUAGUUGGGAAUAGUUUCAGCAGAGCCUUUUCGAGUGACAGAGCAUUUUUAUCAGUUUGUUUACUCAGCAGGUGAGUUGCGUGUCGAUUGGUUAUGUUGUCUGUCGAUUGUGUGGAAUGAAAGAAACAUUUAGAUCUUCAAAAAUACAUAGAGUAUCAUUCAUCAAUUGGUAGAGAAAGUCAAAUUACGAUCCUUUUGGUGGAUGAAGUCAUUUAAUUUUUCUAUCCGGCCAAAUUUUCAUAUGCAGUGGUCGAGCGCUUUUGUUUGUUUGAACAUUGGCUAACCUGUGUUUUAUCUUUUUCUAUGGCCGUGUAAUUAGAGCUGUCAAAACGGACCGGCCCGUUUAGCCCGAAUAAAUAUAGGGCUUGGGCCUAAAAUAUUGAGCCCGAAUUUUAAUAGGGCUUUUAGCCCGGCCCUUAAAACCCGGUACCCGUUAGGGCUAGCCCGAAUGGGCCGCGGGUAGCCCGUUAGCCCGCAUAACAAAAAAAAAUUCUAUAAAUUAUAUAUAUUUUUCAAAUAAUUAUUUACUUAGUUGAUUAUCCAUGUAAAAAAUAAAAGUGAAAAUUCAAUGAAUUAACACAAAUAUAAAUGUAAUAUAAAAUUAUAUUUAUUCAUUUCGUUAUUUAUAGUUUUAAAGAUCGAAUAUAUAAAUAUCUAUAACCAUAACAUAAUUAAUUUAUUUAAAAUCAUUUUCCUCGUCGUUUUAGUUUACAACGUUUGUACGAAAAUGUUUACAAUUUACUUUUGUGCUAGACAUUAUUUAAACAUAUUAAAAAUAUUAUUUAUAAAAAAAUUAUAGUAGUGUUUUAUAGUACUUUUUUAAAAUAAAAAAUAUAUAAUUUUUAAUACGGGCCGGCCCGUUUAGCCCGCGGCCCGUGUACUAUAUUUCAAACCCGUUUUGUCAACCGGGCUUUUUGGCCCAGCCCGCUAAAGCCCGAAGCCCGCUAGGGUCGGCCCGUUUUGACAGCUCUACUUGUAAUUGUGUAAUUUUGAGCUAGCACACCUUGUGCUUGAGAAUUCUCCUGAUUACUAAUAUAUUCCAUUUUUUUUGUUAAAAAAAAAAUUAAUCAUCGUUAACACCAAUAAAACUUCAUAUCUAUAGUAUUUAAGUAAGAUUAAUCUAAACCAAAUCAACCAAUACACUAUAGUUAGUAACAAAAUCGACAAUUGAAAAAUCACACUACACUAUACAAAUAAUAAUGAAGUUUUUUGAAGGAAAAAACAAUAAUGAAGUUGUCAGCAAUUUGAAAUGGUAUAAAAGAACCGUCUAUCGACCUUAUCCACCGAACACUAAAUCAAUCUUUGAAUUAAUGCUAUUGCUACAUAUGGUAAUCUAGAAAUAGCUCUAGAAAAAUCAAAAUGAAGAAAAAUUAAACGCGUAUAUACCAAACUGGAAAAUUCCGCGUUACGUAUAGACAAAUAACACCUCACUCACCAUGCAAAUAAUUCAUGAACCAAUUCAUAUACAGUCUGUCGUAUACUUAACUUGCAAACACAAACAAAGAAAAACAAUUAAUAGUAUCUAUCAAAAUACAAAAUUGCAAUUAAAAUUGUCAAAAAAGAAAAAAGUAAUAAUAUUUUUUAACAAAUGUGGAAAAUAAUUUGUUAUUUUUAUUUGACCCAUUAUUCCUCCAAGUCACAUCACACACCGUCCUAGCUAAAAACACAAGCAAUAUAAUAAUCCAUUGUACACUAUAUAUACACAAGCAAUAUCAUAGUUCUUUUCUAUCCAUUACCAAUUCUCCUCAACUCAAAUCUAAUCAUCUUUCACUACUCAUUUUUUUAGUUCUAAAUUUCUAAUUAACAUUUUUCUCUCUCAAAAAAUAUAUACAACAUGGGUUUUUCUUCAAUCAAAUUGUUUGUGAUAUUAGGUCUUUUGGCUACCUCAUGCCUAGCACAAGCUCCUGCACCAGCACCCACACAAUCAUUAUCACCAAAUUCAGCACCAGUUCCAUCAUCCUCCACAAGGUCACCAACACCCUCUCCUGCAGUUUCUCCUUCAACCUCUUCUUCUCCAGGCCCAAGCCCUAACACAUCUUCCCCACCAGCACCAGGCUCAAAUAGCCCAGCAUCAGGCCCAGGUGGGCCCGGACUAGAGCAGCCAGGAGCUGAGUCACCCUCUGCUGCAUUCUCUAUUAGCAACACUUUUGUUGCUGUUACCGCAUUUGCUGGAAUCUUCUUGUCCAUGGUUUUAGCUUAAUGGGUCUAUACAUAUUUUUUUUAUUUUAUUUUUAUUGAAUUCAUGGUUUAGUCGGUUGAGAAUUCUAUUUAUUUAUUUUUUAUAGGCAAUAAAUUGUUAGUUUUCUUUUGUUGAAUAAAUUAAUAAAAUGUUAGUGAUUGAUGAUGAUAUUAUAUCAUAUUAGUCUUUUUUUUGUUUCUGAAUUCACUCGAUUAUAUUAAAAAAAAAAAUGCUAAAAUAUGAUUUUGGUCCCUGCAAAUAUAGUGAGUUUGGGUUUUGGUCCCUGGUAAAAAAAAGUUUUGAAAUUCAUCCCUGCAAAAUUUUUUAUUUUUUAAAAUAGUCCUUGGACCCACUUUAUUGAUGAUUUGGCUGAUUUUUGCUCAGGUGGCAGAUGAUGACUGUACAUACGUUGAUACAUGUGGCAUUUAAGUUAAUUUAAAUAUUUAUAAAAUAAAAUAAUAAAUCAGAAAUUGGUUUUACUUUUUUUUAAUUAUAUUUUUUAUUUUUAAUCAACCUUUUAUUUUUGUUAUAAAAGUCAAUCAUCUUCUCCAAAUAUCCAACAACAUACACAGUAAAAAAUCUUCAAACAAACCCAAAUUAGUGACAAAUCAAACCCAAAUUCAAAUUUAGUCAACUUCUCCAAAUUCAAUCAAACCCAAAUUCAAAUUAAUUAUCUUUUCCAAUACAGUAACGAAAAGCUUCAACCAACAAAGUAAUGCUUUCAAUUCACUAAUCAAUCCACUCUUGCACCAUCACCGGACCCUCCAAUUCCACCUUUUUUUUCAACAAAACUCAAUCUGAUACCCUCUUCUCCCUUUCCACUAACUUAAAUGACACCAGAAGAUUAAAUGGGUUUACACUUGUUUAGAGAUUAAUAAAUAUGAGUUAAGUGGUAACAUGCUUCACUGUUUGUGUUCUAAUGAAGGAUCCAAAGGUUCACUUACCUAGUGUAAAAGAGAUUCUAUUUGUAAUUCUAGAUCUGUUGGUGUUGUUGAAGAAGACAUGAAGAAGAUGAGAAGAGGGAGAAAUGUCAGACCCAAAAAAAUAAACAGAAAUUAGGUUUGGAUUGAAGAAUAAAGGCUAAAGGUAGGUGUGGUGGAUACAAGUAUGAUGAAGAUGAUGGAUGGAGGAAGAUGACGGAUGGAUGAAGAUUGACGGAGAAGAAUGGGAAAAUUGGAAACCCUCCCCUUUUUUUAAUAAUUUUAUUUUAGUUAAUUUUUUUUUAUAAAAUGUUAAAAUAAGUUAAAUACCAGUCUGCGCCACAUGUACAAGAUUGUACCGUCAUCAUCUGCCACCUAAGCAAAAACCAGCCAAAUCAUCGGUAAAGUGGGUCCAGGGACUAUUUUAAAAAACAAAAAAAUUUGCAGGGAUGAAUUUCAAAACUUUUUUUUACUAGGGACCAAAACCCAAACUCGCUAUAUUUGCAGGGACCAAAAACAUAUUUUAGCCAAAAAAAAAAAUCACUCUAUUAUGUAGAUGAUGAAUUGAUCAUCAAGAUUUUCAUUCAAGUCUCUUUAAAUUCAAUCGUCAUUUCAAUUCAUGUCCUUCUAUUUUAUAGUGAAUCAUCUAGCAAACUAUUUUUAGCCAAUUAUUUUAAAAGUGUCUACCACUUGAUUUGAUUCCAGACAUUCCUCUAAAUAAGUUUUCCUUCAAAACAACAAAUGUGAUGAAUCUCAUCCACUUGAGCAAAGCACGAAUGAGUUAUAUUUAUACGCAACAACGGUCCAAUAAUAAACCCACAACAUUUUUAGAACCACUCUAAGCAAUUAAGCUUAUAUGUACUUUUAAUCCAUCUUCUUUCAAAAUAAAAUAAAAAAGUCCAUCUAUUUAAAAUAUGUAUAUAUAUGAAAUUGUGAUCUCCUAUUUCAAAAAAUCAUAUUUUCGCACCCUAUUUGACUUUAAAAAAAAAUAAAAAAUUGUUAUGACUUAUUUUUGGAUCAUUUUUCUUAUAAUGUAGUCCGUUCUUUUAUGACUUGGGAGAUCUUAUUAAACAUAUUUUUGUUGACAUAGAUAUUCACUGUAAUCUGAUAAGUGUUGUCAUUUUAUAAGUGAAUAUGUCACGUCAUAAAAAAUACUAAAAAAAAAUGAGACAGGGAUAAAAAAAAACUGAUUUUUAAAAAACAAAACGUAAACUUUAUUUUAUAAAAAUAGAGGGAUCAAAAUUCAUUUAAAUCAAACAAUUAUUUGAUGAAAACCAUUUAAAUCAAACAAAUAUUUGAUGAAAACCUUACUCCAAGCUAUCUCUAGACCAUGAUAGAUCCCCCAUAACUUUGCUUCUACCAUUGAGCACGUUCUUAAACUCGAAGCAAAACUAUAAAUACACCCAAUUAGCAUGUUACUCAAAAUAGUCACAAAGUCUUGAGAUGGAUCCACCCAAUUGAUGUGUGAGAGGGCAGCCCAUACCAAUCGAGUCACCAAUAUUAAAGAUCUCAAAUUCUUUAUAGUAUUCCUUUCCGUCAUAUUUAUAUGAAAAAUUUAAGUCAAUAAAAGUUUACGUAUGUAGUUAAAAAUUCAGUCUAGAUACAUCAAUUUUUGUUGACCAAACUUUCUUUUAUAAAUAAAACCGAAUGGAGUAAUACAUAUUUUCCCUUUAAAAGACUAAACGCCAAAUACACAUCAAUCAUCUCUCCAAAAACUAAACUCGAGGUAACAUAUUACACAAAUUGCUCAUCAAACAAUUAUGCCAGCUCUUUGAGGAAAAUAAUUGAGUAUUAGAAACAAGGGUUAAAUGAUGUUUACUCCUUUCAUUUGGCGAGUUUUGGCAACUUUAUAAUUAAGAUUUUUUUAUUUUGAACCUUCAUGACAUCAAAUUUCAAAAUUUAAUUAAGUUAUUUUCGUCCCUUGUAAUUGGAGCAAAUUUUGGUUUACCCCCUUGCCAUAUCAUAUAUUUUGUUCCGUCAAAACUUAUGAAGGUCCCAAAUCAAAGAAUCUUCAAAUUACAAGAUUAGAAUCCAAAGUUUUUUUUUAUAAGGAAAUAACGCGAAACUCGCCCAAAUAACGCGGAAUCAUUUUACCCUAGAAAUCUUAAUAUAAUGUUGCUUCAAGAUGUUCAUCAACAAUCUUGUAUACAUUGUUUUAGAGAAAUUGAAACCUCUGGUUACUAAUUCGUAAGUUGUUCAAAGACAAGCACGAUUUUGGAUCACAUUUUCAAAUGGAUGGAAUGAUAUAGGUUGGGUUGAUGAAUAUGGUCGAUAACUUUCUACUAUUCAAAGAUGUAUGCAAAGGGAAGAAUUUUAAGAAUCAAAGUUUGGAACAAUAGUCGUUGUCACGUUAAGGUUUUCACAAUUUUGGCCAUGACGAAUGUUGCGACAUCAUAUACGGUUGUCGUGGUGUGAAUUAAUCUUUUAAUAUAUAAUAACAUAAAUUAUUCUUUUUACCCAUUAUUAUAGAUGUUUAAAGUAAAUAUAAUAAUAAUAAUAAUAAUAUGAAUAAUUUAGUAGCUAUUAUCAACAAUAUAUUCAACAAAGAUUGUAUACUUAAGAUUCAUGCUAAAAAGGAUUCAAAAAAUGAAAAUAAGUGAUAAGUUUUUAUGUAAAAAAGUUACUUGUUAAUGUUUUAAUGUGUUAAAUAUACUAUUGCCAAAUAUAAUUUCCUCUUUAGCCUUCGUUACAAGUGCCCUUAGGAUAUCUAUUAGAAUUUCCAUAUCAUUGGACAAAAUUCGUGAUAAAUUAACUACAUUAAAUUCACAGCAUAAGAAACCGCUAAUACAUUUGAAAAGACUGAAGAAAAAAUAUUGAUUACAUCACUAAUCAUCACAUGUUAGAACGACAUGCAUGAUCAUAACUUCAGUUAUCACAUUUAUAACUUUUAUUUCCACUUCCUAUAAAUACAUAAUCAAAUAACCUAGAGCUUAUUAUUGGUGGUUCAAUUUGUUGUUAGUCAUAUGAAAAACUUGUUUACGAGCCAUUGUAAUUCAUAUGAGGUUGGUUAUAACAUGGUGCAUUCGGGUUAUGCAUGAAUCAAUGAUAUCCAUGCAACAUAUAAAAAGGUUAUUGGUAAUAUGAUGGAUGAAUCAAAAUCAUAUUAGCACGAGGAAGAAUCAUCUAAUGGAGUCUCUUCAUGCUUUCUACUUUUACCAUGUCUUGCUCGACCUCUGCUACUACCAUUAACAAUCAUAUUAGCACGUGGAUCUUUUUCCAUUCUACGGGGAAACAUAUUUUGAUCAUGCCUAACAUAUGAUUCUUUUUUAAAAGAACGAAAUGACCUUUCACUUAUUUUAUGUAUUUGUUCAUGAGUACCAUUGCAACCAUUUCCAAGACCAACACCCUAAUUCUACUUUAUAAAUACUAACUCAUAGACAAUGGGUCAGGUACGCUCACUUCUAUCCACAUAUACCUAUCAUUCAACAAUGCCUACUUACUUGAUUAUAAGUUAAAAUCAAAUUAUUUCAUAUCAAUCAAUAUUGUCAAAUAUAACAUAAUAUAAGUAAUUAUUACACUCAUUAAUUACUAUACUAUCAUGACCUAUUCAUUUGAGAUUUAUACUUUUCAAAGUAGUUCCUUUUACUCCAUUCUUAAACUCUUUGAACAAAUUCAAAGAUGUAUAGCUUGUGUCCAAUACACAUAUAACAUAUUCACAUCUAUUAAGCUCAUUAGUAAUGUAGAUGAAGUAAGAGAAAUAAAACAUAUCUAGAAAAUAUGUUUAGUAGUCUAUCGACUUCCCACAAGAAUGUAAUUCUAAUAAAUUAUCAGAUGUUCUUUCAUAAUUUUUAAUAAUAUUUUACUUUUUGGUGUUGCAUUAGGUAGUAAGGGGGCAAAUGUGUCAACCUAGUUGGAAUGUCUCCUCUCCAUCUUUUCAAUCUUUUUUAUUAUAAAAUAAUAAUAAUUAAUUAUUAGAUAAAUCAUACACAAUUGAUUUUCUCACUUUUACUUAUAUUAAAUACGACUCUUGUAGUCAUGUAUAUCAAUCACCAAGAAACAUAAACAACCAACUACAUACAUAUCAGUCACAAACAAUACCAGUGACUAACUACAUGCAUGACUCUUGAAUAUAUUCUCCAUGUAUUAAAUAUAUAAUGAAUAUUAUAUAUAUGCUAGAAAUACAAAAUGAUUUUAAAAUCUAACUUUUAUUACGUUUAUAUAUCAAAUAACUGAAUUUUUCUAAUUUAAUUAUGAAUUCAUGCAAUGUUAUUUUUUUUUUGGACAAAUUAUAAAUUCUUGCAGUUACUACUUUGAACGUAAACAUAAAUCUUGUUUGAUGUAUAUUAUUUCUCUUCACCUAUUAUUUUGUAUUUUCCUCUUUUUUUUUCUUUCUUUUCUUUCUUUCAUCUUUUUGGAUAGAUGCGUGAAAAUAAAAGAAACUUGUGCAAACUCAUGAGUAUAUUACAAGUUCAUAAACAAAAAUUGGCACACUUCUAACUAUUUACAUAUGUUAUUAUAAUAAAUUGACCCCCCAAACAUGUAUACCAAAAUAAAUAUUUAUUAAGUUUCUGUACCAAUUAACUAUGUUUAUUACGGUUUAAGUCUUUUUUAAGGAUUAAUUUCUCUUUUUUGAGGUGUUAACCCUCCGGUUUUCAGAGAAAGGGGACCCUAAUAAUCUGAAGUUUAGUUGAUAGGUAAAUAUAGUCUGACCAAUAAAUAUUCUACUCAGUAAUUUACUUGGUUUCUCUCCAAAGAUUCAUCUCUUGUUGGAACUUAUUUACCACUUAAACUCAAUUGUUUGGCUUAUAUUGUCUUUUCAUUGAUGCAUUAUUCAUGCAACUAAAUUUUCCGUCAUCCAACACUAAAAAAUUAUGGAGCGAAAAAAAAAACUAUUAUUGCUUCUUGAAAUAACCAUGUUGUGUUCUUUUGCAUGUGUUUCAUUAAAAGCUAUUAUAUUCUUUUGAAAAAAAUUAAAGGCUAGUAGUAUAUAAAAUAAAUAAUAAAUGGUUUGUAGAAAAAAUUUAGUAAACUCUAAUGAUUGUCUUGUCUGUUAGAGGGGCUUUGGGCCUCUUCCAGAGAUGGAGAAGAUUAGUCAAGGUUUCAUGUUUAUACCAUGGCUUAAUGAUAGGGUUGUUCAUGAAUCGUGCUUUUGUGGCGGUUCUCUGUGGGUGGUGUUUUGGUCCUUUUUUUCUUAUACUUUGGUGUAGGGGUUGUAGUUUUUGUGUGUUGUGGUUGAUGUUUAUCUUUUGAUUUUCUUUUUGGGUAUUUAAGGUACCUAUGGUAUUCUUCCCCUCUUUGCAAUGGUUUUAGUCUCUUUAUUUAGACAAAAUCAUAAUUUGGUCUCCAUAUUUUCAAUUGCGCAAUUUUGGUCCCCCAUUUCAAUUUUGUAUGAAUCAUGACUUUGAUCAUCCUAUUUGAUGAUGUGGUCGUAAAUUAUUCACUUUCAGCCCCAUGUAUCGUUUUAAUUGAUCAUCUUUUGCCUUUGCAUAUCUGGUUAUGACUCAAUUUAACAUCCUAUUUUUGAAGACUCGACAAUUAGGCCCUUCAUUUUCAUAUCUAGUUAUGCAAUAUAUAUUGUCACGUCUUAAAAUGAGAUGGUUAAAAUCAUGGAUUGUUAAAUAGUUAUGGAAUGAAGGGAAAUUGUGAAAUUAAAAAUAAGGAGACCAAAAUUACGGUUUUACUAAAAUAAGAGGAUCAAAGCUGCAUUUAUGUGAAAUUCUUACUACAGUCGAGUGAUGAGUCAAUAAUUAAUCGUUUUAGUAUAAUAUUUAGUUUCGUUUUAUUUAGAUCUAAGUUUAUUAUAUUUAAAUAUUAUUUUCUUUUAGAGCUAUUUUACUUCAAUUGCAUAUUAUUAUAUUUUAGAAACGAAUGUUUGACAGAUUGAGUCUUGAGCAAAAGGAAGAGGAUUAGGAGCUGAUUCAGAUGAAAAAUACGAAGAUUGAAGACGAAAAUAUAUCCUCACCAAGUCAGAAGCUUGGCACGACCAGUGCCACCAAUUGGCACGGUCGUGCCACCUCCCAGGGGCUUUUUUGCUGCUUUUGCUUCAUGAUCUAGCUGCCUGUUUUGACCAAAAAGUCUGUGGUUUCUUGUGGAACAUUCUAGUGAAUAGUUGCUUAGGUUUUAAGUCGACAAUAAGACUAUAAAUAGAGUAGCUAGCUAUCAUUAACAUUCAUCUUUUGUUCUUGGAAUUCAAUAAGUGACAAUUGUCUUUCUUACUAAAAGUUCUUUUCUUUUCCUUUACUUUCUUGUUAUUUACUUUUAUGCUUUUCUUCUUCUUCUCCAUGUCUACGAUGAACAUGAGUGAGUAGACUCUUCUUAUCUUGGGAUUGUUGGAUAAGUCUAAUGACAUAAUCCUAAUCAAACCAAACCAUAAACCUUAGUUUUAUAUAAAUCUACUUUCUAAUCUAAUUUCACAGGUUUUAUAAUGAAUUAGCAAUUAGUAAGCUAGGAAGCGAACACGGAGGGUUUAGCACUUGUUAAUUCAUCAUCACAAAUAUUAGGCGAAGGAUCGAAAGAUGAAGUUUUAAUAUUGGAACAAGUGAAAUUAGAAAAGGGUUGCGAAACAUGAGAAUAGUCUAGCAAACCUUGAGACAUAUAAAGUUUUGUUCUUCAAGGAUUCUAAUAGCAAUCAACCAUGAGAAUAGGCGUGGUUGCAAGAAGAACACACUCACUGAGACCGAAAGGAGAUGUGAUAGGCUAAAGAGAAACUUGUCUUUAGAAAGUAGGUCAAAUAUAAAGUUAGAGGUUUAGGGUUUGUUUGUGAAGAAUUCGUUGUUAUGAUGAACCAAUAAUCCUAAGGCUUCUUUUAUUAUUAUUUUCUUCCGUUAAAAAUCAAACCUUUUUCAACUGAAACUUCUUCUAAUCAUUCUCUAAAAGUUAGUUAAAUUGAACAACUUCCUAUCAGAACGAUACUCUUUUAUUACUACACCGGUAUAACCGUGCACUUGCGGUUUUAGAUAUCAAUCGAGUGAACUAAAUGAACAAAAACUCAUUGCAUUUUUGCACAAUAAAAUAAUCAAGUGUUUUUUAUCUGUUUAAUAAUAUGUAGAAAAAGUAGGACUAAAACUGUCAAGUUUAUUAUUGUUUUUUCAAAAGACAACGAUCAAGUUUAUUUAUACAUUAACUUGUAUGAUAGGAUACUUUUGAAUCUGCUAUAAUAAUAUUUAAUAAUGAUUCGACUUUUAGGAAGAGUUUUAAACUAAAAUCUAUAUAUUUAAAAAAUAAAAGCAAAUAUAGCACAUAGUAUUUUUCUAUUGUUGAUGUAGACAUAUUUUUUACAUUAUAAAGUUAUCAAACAAUUUUUAUUGUUACAUACAUAGAAGGAAAACCAUGACUAUAAUUAUCAAAUUUGUUUAUAUUAUGAUCCUACUUUUUUUCCCAUUUCUUGUGGUAUCCCAAAUUUUUCGUAAGCCUUUUAUAACCCUUUCAACUUUAUGUUACCUUAUAGACAAUCUUUCAUUUGCUUUUAUUAACGUUGUUUUUUCUUCUUCUUCUUGUUUUGCAUCACAGCAAAAUGGUGUUUGUAUGACAAGGAUUGUCCACAGAACAUGUGUCGUCCUGGUCGAAUUCCGAAGUGCAUUUUUGGACAUUGUAAUUGCGUUAAACAGCGGAGUUGAAAAAUAAGUAUGUAUUAUGUAUAUCUAUACUAUAUAUACAAAAGUCAGAUUAACUUCUGCCUUUAGGGUACAUGUUAAGAAACUAAAAAAUAGAAAUAUUUUCUCAAGUUUUGUGCAUUGUAUGUAUUACAAAUUCAAAAAUUAAAAUCAAUCCACACAUUUCAACAAAAAAUUAUUAUAUUAUAUUUAUUAAUUUAUGUCUUAAAGACACAAGAUAGCUUUUCCCUAAAAAAAGAUGAGUUUGAACCGUCUUUUUCUCUUUUCAAUUUGAUCCUUCAUCUAAAAUAUUUUAUUUACUAUUUUAUCCUUUUUAUACAAAUAUUUAAAUUAGUAAUUAAAAAAUAGAUAAAUCUCAUUAUAAUACUCUACUACAAUAGAAACAAUAUUAUCUUAAAAAUAUAUAAAUAAAAUAGACGAUUUUGAGUUGGAUUUUUUCAUUAUUCAAAUUAUACUGUUAAACAAAUUUUUCUAUAAUAUUGUUAUAUUGUUGGUAUCAUUGAAAAGGAUAAAAGUUUAUAUUAUAUUUGCAAUAUUGUUGUGUAACUCUAAAAUAUAAGCAUGAUUUGCUACAAUAAACCACAAACAUCUAUACAUAUAAUUUUAAUCGAAAUCUAAAUUUCAUAAAAAAAUUAUUUAUAAUUUACACUUGUUAUUGCAAUAAAAAGAACAAAUAGACGGGCAUGGAGUGCCCGUCAAUCGCUAAUGCAUAUAAUAUUACCUUACUAUCAUAAUAAUAGUACUCUUGUAAUUUGACAAAGGCUCUCACAUUGGAUAGGAGAUGACCUGACAAUAUGUUUAUAAGUGGGAACAAUCCUCACUUCAUAAGCCGAAUUUAUGAGGUUGUGUUAGACCCAACCACGAUUUCUAAGACGGUAUUAGAGUCUCCUCAAGAUCCAUUGAAUCACAUGUUUCUACUAUCGGGCCACCCACCAUUUAUGUCCAUGAGCGAAGCCCAAUAGUGCUGGUCGUGAGGAGUGUAUUAAAGAGUCUCACAUUAGAUAUGAGAUGACAUGACAA
rnacentral:lncRNA from 1 species